CCUACGGGUGGCUGCAGUGAGGAAUAUUGGUCAAUGGACGGAAGUCUGAACCAGCCAUGCCGCGUGCAGGAAGACGGCCCUAUGAGUUGUAAACUGCUUUUGUACAAGGGUAAACCUGAAUACGUGUAUUCAGCUGAAUGUACUGUACGAAUAAGGAUUGGCUAACUCCGUGCCAGCAGCCGCGGUACUACGGAGGAUCCAAGCGUUAUCCGGAUUUAUUGGGUUUAAAGGGUGCGUAGUCGGAUUGAUAAGUUAGAGGUGAAAUGUUCGAGCGUAACUCGGGAACUGCCUGUAAUACUGGUGAUGUAGAGAGUAGAUGAGGUAGGCGGAAUGUAUGGUGUAGCGGUGAAAUGCUUAGAGAUCAUAAAGAACACCGAUUGCGAAGGCAGCUUACCAAUCUAUAUCUGACGUUGAGGCACGAAAGCGUGGGGAGCAAACAGGAUUAGAUACCCGGGUAGUC
rnacentral:rRNA from 1 species